rnacentral:rRNA from 1 species
CCUACGGGUGGCAGCAGUGGGGAAUAUUGCACAAUGGGGGGAACUCUGAUGCAGCGACGCCGCGUGAGCGAAGAAGUAUUUCGGUAUGUAAAGCUCUAUCAGCAGGGAAGAAAGUGACGGUACCUGAGUAAGAAGCUCCGGCUAAAUACGUGCCAGCAGCCGCGGUAAUACGUAGGGAGCAAGCGUUAUCCGGAUUUACUGGGCGUAAAGGGUGCGUAGGCGGCCGGCCAAGUUUGAUGUGAAAUACCGAGGCUCAACCCCGGGGCUGCAUUGGAUACUGGCAGGCUGGAGUGCAGGAGAGGCAGGCGGAAUUCAUAGUGUAGCGGUGAAAUGCGUAGAUAUUAGGAGGAACACCAGUGGCGAAGGCGGCCUGCUGGACGGUGACUGACGCUGAGGCUCGAAAGCGUGGGGAGCAAACAGGAUUAGAUACCCCUGUAGUC